UGAGGAAUAUUGGUCAAUGGCCGGAAGGCUGAACCAGCCAUCCCGCGUGCAGGAAGACGGCCCUAUGGGUUGUAAACUGCUUUUCUGUUAGAAGAACGGCCUCUACGUGUAGAGGAGUGACGGUAUAACAGGAAUAAGCAUCGGCUAACUCCGUGCCAGCAGCCGCGGUAAUACGGAGGAUGCAAGCGUUAUCCGGAUUCAUUGGGUUUAGAGGGUGCGCAGGCGGGCUUGUAAGUCGGUGGUGAAAUGCUGCCGCUUAACGGUAGAAUUGCCAUUGAUACUGCGAAUCUUGAGUACGAUUGAGGCAGGCGGAAUGUGUUGUGUAGCGGUGAAAUGCAUAGAUAUGACACAGAACGCCGAUUGCGAAGGCAGCUUGCCAAGUCAAUACUGACGCUCAUGCACGAAAGCGUGGGGAUCAAACAGGAUUAGAUACCCUGGUAGUCCACGCUGUAAACGAUGUUCACUCGCUGUUUGCGAUACACAGUAAGCGGCUAAGCGAAAGCAUUAAGUGAACCACCU
rnacentral:rRNA from 1 species